UACGAAGGGGGCGAGCGUUGUUCGGAUUUACUGGGCGUAAAGGGCGCGCAGGCGGCGCAUUUUGUCAGGCGUGAAAGCCCCGGGCUUAACCUGGGAACUGCGUUUGAUACGGAUGGGCUAGAGUUCGGGAGAGGAGAGUGGAAUUCCCAGUGUAGAGGUGAAAUUCGUAGAUAUUAGGAAGAACACCAGUGGCGAAGGCGGCUCACUGGCCCGGUACUGACGCUCAUGUGCGAAAGCGUGGGGAGCAAACCGG
rnacentral:rRNA from 1 species